CCGGGGUCCUGGGAGGGACACGGGAACCAGCAGCAAGGCGAGACACCGGCCUGAAGAGGGCGCUCUGGAGGCUGGAACGCUAAUUCCCUGAGAUGACCAGCAGGAGGUGCCGCCGGUGAGUCUGCACCCGGUUACAUGGGGCAUGUGUGCUCCCUAUCCCAUAAGGGAUGCGUCCAUAGUUAUGAUAACUGGUGGGAUGUCCUGCAGAAAGGGGACCCUGGAGCAAAGCUUGUGAGGCAAUGUCCACCAGUGGAGGGUGUCCUUGACUCUGAAGAACAUUGGACAUUCGGUCUGUAGGCAGUGGUCAUCCAACUUUGGAAACACCUCAUGAAGAGGCGAGCGUUCCUGACAACAAAAGUGCAAGAGGCCAUGUGGCCUAGGAGUUGUAGGCAAUCUCGUGCAGUCACCUGUGGACUGUUGAUGGAGUUGAGAAGGUGGAGUGGGAGAGGUGCUAUUCUUUUGUGCGAGUCGAAAUGUGUUCCUAUGAACUCCAGUUGUGGGGUGGGUGUGAGUGUAGAUUUUCUUUGUUCAUUCGCAGGCCAAGAGCAUGGAAACAUUGGAUUGUCUGUUGUGUGGACUGAAUGGCUUCUUGGAGGGUCCUGGCUUUGAAAAGAUAGUUGUCGAGGCAAGUAAAAAUUAUGAUUCCCUGCCUUUUGAGAUGAGGUGUUACAACUGCGAGGAGUUUGGAAAAGACAUGAGGAGAGGCCGAAAGUGAUAAGCUGAAAGAGAAGUGCAUUGAAGUUGAACUGACACUGCUGAUAUAUCAUCUAUUUACUGUCCUGUUUACAACGUUACUUUGGAACACACCUCCCACUCUCCCUCCUGCAAUGAAAUGGGUGAAGAAUAGCUGUAGAGCAAGAGACCUGUAAUGCCUCUCCUGCUGUUCAGAGAUUUCCCAAGCUGCAGCAAAGUGAAAACUGACAUAUCUGGUCAGAAAGAAAGGCAACUAGGGGAAGUGACAAGAAUCAUAUCAAUUUUGCUCCCGUGGAAGUUAAGAGUAGCAGCAGAGGCAGGUACUCAAGAUAUUCAAUGAAAAGCUCCGAAAGACCCAAGAUCUGUGAAGAUUAGUAACUGACACCUACCACUAACACCUUCUCCACAGCAGCAACAAGGAUUUCAGGAGGGAAUGACAAUAACUGCUGGUAAAAACAGAAAGGGAGGCUUCAAAGUUAAUCAGAAUAUACAACUUAUUUUUUUUUUUUUAGCAUCCAGCUAGUGAGGCUGGAUCUCGGGGACAGCAUCAUGGUAGAAAUCAUACCACUUUUUUACAGCAGAUCAGGGACCCCAGCCAGUUGUCUCCUGCACUUCUAUUAGGUGUAAGUAAAAAUAUUUCAGGCCCUAUGUGAGAGGGGGCAGGGCAAGUGGUCUGGAGGGAUAAAGAACAUAAUAUAGAUAGAGAUAAGGGAGGGGAGGGAGCACUGAAAAUAAUGCAGAAAAAACUAUCAUCUAUAAAAAGGAAUGGAGUGAAAUUAGCAAAGAAAAAUGGUACAACAUAUGUAUUACUAUAUUGACAAGAUCUAUUCCUUUAAUUAACAGUGGUCAUAACUUUGGGGUAACAUGCAUUUUUCACAUUGAUUAGUACAUGCCCAAGAAAUUUUUCUGAACUGAAACAAUAUGAAGCUCUUAGAUAAUAUCAGCCCUUCGUGUUUGAGUGAUGUGUAGCAGCGGUCUCCAUAUAUCCCAUUAAGGAAGUGGCAAGCUUUGUCAAUCCCUUUAAAGGACAAAAAUUCCUUUCAAUAAGAGGAUAAAGGAAUUAGUGCUGUUGGUGGCUUGUUUACUGUAGGUUUCAAAUCUUAGGUCCAUUAGAUUUAUGUUCCUUUUGGGCAUUCCAAUAAAUCUGUUUUCAGCACCUAGAAAUGAGAGACUCCUGCAGGGUGGAUUAAAAAAAAAAUUAAAUACAAAUCCAAUUUAAAUAAAGUAUGGGUUAAUUUUAAAAAAUAAGCCUAUUUAGAAUUAAAUUUGAAAUUGACAAUUUAUGUUAAGGCUUAAAUUAAAUAAAAAAAAUAUUAAGCAGUACAUAUUUGCUGCCAAGUCAAACCACUGAACUGGUGGAAAUCAUUGACUAAGCACCUGGAAACAGUUUGUUGAAGCACUAAAUCUGCUUUUCACAGCAGCAGCCUUUCCUACAGAUAAAGAGGAAAUAUUUUCUUUGUUUGUUUACUAAACUAGUCCAGUUCGAUGAGUAGGUCAUUAAAAGUUAAGAACCAAAUUUGGAUUGAAAAGUAGGGAAGGGUUUUUUCCUCUUCCAAACUAUGAAUAAAAACCUAGAUGUGAGAGGGUCAGAUUAACUUGUUCUAAAAUCUUUAACAGCAUGGUGAUCAGAAACAAUCAGUUCAAUUCAUUAAUUACAGAGACUUCCUUUGUUUAAUAAAUCAGUUUUUAAUGCAAAACUUGCAUAAGAAAAAAUAUCAAAGUAUUUAGCACAUUUAAGAUAGUUUUAGUUAAUAAAAAAAAUUAAAAAUACACAGCAUUUUCAAUUGAAUUUCCAUCCAAACAGAGCUUGGCACAAAUCAUGAAUAAAUAAAUUAAUCAUCAAGUAAAUAAGAAAUGCAUCAU